rnacentral:misc_RNA from 1 species
GUGAAUCAUCAAAUUUUUGAACGCAAAUUGCACUCUCUGGUAACCCGGGGAGUAUGCCUGUUUGAGGGUCAGUGUUAAUAAAAGUCGGUGCGUUGCAAUUUUUGUGAGGUUCGGGGGUUGGGGUUAUCUUCUGGGUUUUUAAGGGGCUUAAAAUUAACCUUUUGGUGCAUUUUAGACUUACGUAGAUUUUUUUUAUUCGUUUAUCUUAUUGCAAAAUCAAUUAAAUGCGACAAUAUCAGUUG